rnacentral:rRNA from 1 species
CCCUGUGGGAAGCAGGAGGGACCACCCUCCAAGGCUAAAUACUACCUAGUGACCGAUAGCGUAUAGUACCGUGAGGGAAAGGUGAAAAGAACCCCGGGAGGGGAGGGAAAUAGAACCUGAAACCCUGUACUUACAAGCUGUGGAAGCACAUUUCUUGUGUGACCGCGUACUUUUUGUAGAACGGGCCAACGAGUUACGUUAAGUAGCAAGGUUAAGCACUUAAGGUGCGGAGC